UCGCGGGAUGGAGCAGUUGGCAGCUCGUCGGGCUCAUAACCCGAAGGUCGUAGGUUCAAGUCCUACUCCCGCAAU
rnacentral:tRNA from 1 species